UAUAUCCCCCAGCCUUACAUCAGACAGUUUUAGUUCCCGUUGUCGCACAAGCAUCAAAAUCUACAGCGUCCUCUGCUAGCUUCCAGCCCUGGAGCAUCUAAGGUCCCCAGACCAAUGUCUCUCAAUUUCAACCCAUCUUUUCCUAUGUAAUAUAAGUGCCUCUUCUGGUCAGUGAAAAUGUCUAUCUUAUCUUUUUUGUCUAUUUUAUUUUUUUUAAUAAUACCUAUAUGUUUAAAAUUUGUUUUCUAGAGGAGAGGGGAGAGGGACAGAGGGAGAAAGAGAGAAUUUUCAGGCUCCAUGCUUAGUACGGAACCCAUUGCAGGGCUCAAUCACAUGACCAAGAGAUCGUGACCUGACCUGAGCCUAAAUCAAGAGUCAGACGCUUAAUUGACCGAGCCCCCCAAGGCAACCCCGUUUAUUUUCUCUUUUUAGAAACCUUUCAUUGUUUUAUGUCCAGAAGAUUCGCGGGGUCUAAAAUUAUAAAUUUACAAUGCUAUGCUAAUUGAAAAUACGAAUUUAUCUUUAAUGCUCUGUCCUAAUUCACUGAGUAACACUAAACAUAAUACAAAUAAAAAUUAAAGCAAAAGAGAAGAGCUGAAGGUCAUGAAACCGGUGUGAAGGCCAACAUCUCAGUUACGUAUUCUUUUGUAGUAGCUAAAGUAGAAAAGAAUUGCACAGCAGUCUUUACAGUAAUUGGCGAAUGAUAUAAUUUGUGUCACAUACAGCUACAAAUGCCCUGGAGAGCCCAAUGACGUGAUGAAAGCCCACAUCUAACUGUUUCUCCCUCAGGAAACACUCACUUUGAACGUGCAAAAUAUUCUGCAGACACGAGAGUUGUUUGACAAAAAUGCUUUCCACUUUGAGAAGGGUCGGAAUGGCUGCAUCACCACACCCCUCUUUGGAGGAGCCCAUCCCCACACAACCCCUGUCAUCCUGACCUCAGCUGUUUUCAUGGAGGCUGACCAGUAACCUCAAGCCUCAGUGAGAUGUAUCCUCCUCUCAUGCUUGUACCUCUAACAAAUGCCUGGAUACCUAACAGGUAUCUGUGACUACCUAACAGAACCUCGCUGAGUUUCCCACCAGCAGUGAGGGG
rnacentral:lncRNA from 1 species